rnacentral:rRNA from 1 species
AGGACGAACGCUGGCGGCGUGCUUAACACAUGCAAGUCGAGCGGUAAGGCCUUUCGGGGUACACGAGCGGCGAACGGGUGAGUAACACGUGGGUGAUCUGCCCUGCACUCUGGGAUAAGCCUGGGAAACUGGGUCUAAUACCGGAUAUGACCUGCUCUCGCAGUGGGGGUGGGUGGAAAGAUUUAUCGGUGCAGGAUCGGGCCCGCGGCCUAUCAGCUUGUUGGUGGGUAAUGGCCUACCAAGGCGACGACGGGUAGCCGACCUGAGAGGGUGACCGGCCACACUGGGACUGAGACACGGCCCAGACUCCGUACGGGAGGCAGCAGGUAGGGAAUUUGGACAAGUGGGACGAAAGCCUGACUACCAGCCAUCGGACCGCGUGAC